AUUGAACGCUGGCGGCAUGCCUUACACAUGCAAGUCGGACGGCAGCACGGGGGCAACCCUGGUGGCGAGUGGCGAACGGGUGAGUAAUACAUCGGAACGUGUCCUGGAGUGGGGGAUAGCCCGGCGAAAGCCGGAUUAAUACCGCAUACGCUCUAUGGAGGAAAGCGGGGGACUUUCGGGCCUCGCGCUCAAGGGGCGGCCGAUGGCAGAUUAGCUAGUUGGUGGGGUAAAGGCCUACCAAGGCGACGAUCUGUAGCUGGUCUGAGAGGACGACCAGCCACACUGGGACUGAGACACGGCCCAGACUCCUACGGGAGGCAGCAGUGGGGAAUUUUGGACAAUGGGGGCAACCCUGAUCCAGCAAUGCCGCGUGUGUGAAGAAGGCCUUCGGGUUGUAAAGCACUUUUGUCCGGAAAGAAAGCUUCGUGGCUAAUAUCCAUGAGGGAUGACGGUACCGGAAGAAUAAGCACCGGCUAACUACGUGCCAGCAGCCGCCGCAGUAA
rnacentral:rRNA from 1 species